UGGGGCGUCGCCAAGUUGGCAAGGCACAGGGUUUUGGCUCCUGCAUUCGGAGGUUCGAGUCCUCCCGCCCCAG
rnacentral:tRNA from 1 species